rnacentral:rRNA from 1 species
CCAGUAGCGGCGAGCGAACGGGGAGGAGCCCAGAGCCUGAAUCAGUGUGUGUGUUAGUGGAAGCGUCUGGAAAGGCGCGCGAUACAGGGUGACAGCCCCGUACACAAAAAUGCACAUAUUGUGAGCUCGAUGAGUAGGGCGGGACACGUGGUAUCCUGUCUGAAUAUGGGGGGACCAUCCUCCAAGGCUAAAUACUCCUGACUGACCGAUAGUGAACCAGUACCGUGAGGGAAAGGCGAAAAGAACCCCGGCGAGGGGAGUGAAAAAGAACCUGAAACCGUGUACGUACAAGCAGUGGGAGCCUCUUAAUGGGGUGACUGCGUACCUUUUGUAUAAUGGGUCAGCGACUUAUAUUCUGUAGCAAGGUUAACCGAAUAGGGGAGCCGAAGGGAAACCGAGUCUUAACUGGGCGUUAAGUUGCAGGGUAUAGACCCGAAACCCGGUGAUCUAGCCAUGGGCAGGUUGAAGGUUGGGUAACACUAACUGGAGGACCGAACCGACUAAUGUUGAAAAAUUAGCGGAUGACUUGUGGCUGGGGGUGAAAGGCCAAUCAAACCGGGAGAUAGCUGGUUCUCCCCGAAAGCUAUUUAGGUAGCGCCUCGUGAAUUCAUCUCCGGGGGUAGAGCACUGUUUCGGCAAGGGGGUCAUCCCGACUUACCAACCCGAUGCAAACUGCGAAUACCGGAGAAUGUUAUCACGGGAGACACACGGCGGGUGCUAACGUCCGUCGUGAAGAGGGAAACAACCCAGACCGCCAGCUAAGGUCCCAAAGUCAUGGUUAAGUGGGAAACGAUGUGGGAAGGCCCAGACAGCCAGGAUGUUGGCUUAGAAGCAGCCAUCAUUUAAAGAAAGCGUAAUAGCUCACUGGUCGAGUCGGCCUGCGCGGAAGAUGUAACGGGGCUAAACCAUGCACCGAAGCUGCGGCAGCGACACUAUGUGUUGUUGGGUAGGGGAGCGUUCUGUAAGCCUGUGAAGGUGUACUGUGAGGUAUGCUGGAGGUAUCAGAAGUGCGAAUGCUGACAUAAGUAACGAUAAAGCGGGUGAAAAGCCCGCUCGCCGGAAGACCAAGGGUUCCUGUCCAACGUUAAUCGGGGCAGGGUGAGUCGACCCCUAAGGCGAGGCCGAAAGGCGUAGUCGAUGGGAAACAGGUUAAUAUUCCUGUACUUGGUGUUACUGCGAAGGGGGGACGGAGAAGGCUAUGUUGGCCGGGCGACGGUUGUCCCGGUUUAAGCGUGUAGGCUGGUUUUCCAGGCAAAUCCGGAAAAUCAAGGCUGAGGCGUGAUGACGAGGCACUACGGUGCUGAAGCGACAAAUGCCCUGCUUCCAGGAAAAGCCUCUAAGCAUCAGGUAACAUCAAAUCGUACCCCAAACCGACACAGGUGGUCAGGUAGAGAAUACCAAGGCGCUUGAGAGAACUCGGGUGAAGGAACUAGGCAAAAUGGUGCCGUAACUUCGGGAGAAGGCACGCUGAUAUGUAGGUGAAGCGACUUGCUCGUGGAGCUGAAAUCAGUCGAAGAUACCAGCUGGCUGCAACUGUUUAUUAAAAACACAGCACUGUGCAAACACGAAAGUGGACGUAUACGGUGUGACGCCUGCCCGGUGCCGGAAGGUUAAUUGAUGGGGUUAGCGGUAACGCGAAGCUCUUGAUCGAAGCCCCGGUAAACGGCGGCCGUAACUAUAACGGUCCUAAGGUAGCGAAAUUCCUUGUCGGGUAAGUUCCGACCUGCACGAAUGGCGUAAUGAUGGCCAGGCUGUCUCCACCCGAGACUCAGUGAAAUUGAACUCGCUGUGAAGAUGCAGUGUACCCGCGGCAAGACGGAAAGACCCCGUGAACCUUUACUAUAGCUUGACACUGAACAUUGAGCCUUGAUGUGUAGGAUAGGUGGGAGGCUUUGAAGUGUGGACGCCAGUCUGCAUGGAGCCGACCUUGAAAUACCACCCUUUAAUGUUUGAUGUUCUAACGUGGGCCCCUUACCGGGGUUGCGGACAGUGUCUGGUGGGUAGUUUGACUGGGGCGGUCUCCUCCUAAAGAGUAACGGAGGAGCACGAAGGUUGGCUAAUCCUGGUCGGACAUCAGGAGGUUAGUGCAAUGGCAUAAGCCAGCUUGACUGCGAGCGUGACGGCGCGAGCAGGUGCGAAAGCAGGUCAUAGUGAUCCGGUGGUUCUGAAUGGAAGGGCCAUCGCUCAACGGAUAAAAGGUACUCCGGGGAUAACAGGCUGAUACCGCCCAAGAGUUCAUAUCGACGGCGGUGUUUGGCACCUCGAUGUCGGCUCAUCACAUCCUGGGGCUGAAGUAGGUCCCAAGGGUAUGGCUGUUCGCCAUUUAAAGUGGUACGCGAGCUGGGUUUAGAACGUCGUGAGACAGUUCGGUCCCUAUCUGCCGUGGGCGCUGGAGAACUGAGGGGGGCUGCUCCUAGUACGAGAGGACCGGAGUGGACGCAUCACUGGUGUUCGGGUUGUCAUGCCAAUGGCACUGCCCGGUAGCUAAAUGCGGAAGAGAUAAGUGCUGAAAGCAUCUAAGCACGAAACUUGCCCCGAGAUGAGUUCUCCCUGACUCCUUGAGAGUCCUGAAGGAACGUUGAAGACGACGACGUUGAUAGGCCGGGUGUGUAAGCGCAGCGAUGCGUUGAGCUAACCGGUACUAAUGAACCGUGAGGCUUAACCUU